rnacentral:rRNA from 1 species
GACGAACGCUGGCGGCGUGCUUAACACAUGCAAGUCGAACGGAAAGGCCCUGCUUUUGUGGGGUGCUCGAGUGGCGAACGGGUGCGUAACACGUGAGUAACCUGCCCUUGACUUUGGGAUAACUUCAGGAAACUGGGGCUAAUACCGUAUAGGAGCUCCUGCUGCAUGGUGGGGGUUGGAACUUCUCGGCGGUUGGGGAUGGACUCGCGGCUUAUCAGCUUGUUGGUGGGGUAGUGGCUUACCAAGGCUUUGACGGGUAGCCGGCCUGAGAGGGUGACCGGCCACAUGGGGACUGAGAUACGGCCCAGACGCCUACGGGAGGCAGCAGUGGGGAAUAUUGCACAAUGGGCGGAAGCCUGAUGCAGCAACGCCGCGUGCGGGAUGACGGCCUUCGGGUUGUAAACCGCUUUCGCCUGUGACGAAGCGUGAGUGACGGUAAUGGGUAAAGAAGCACCGGCUAACUACGUG